AGUGAACGCUGGCGGUAGGCCUAACACAUGCAAGUCGAACGGCAGCACAGUAAGAGCUUGCUCUUACGGGUGGCGAGUGGCGGACGGGUGAGGAAUACAUCGGAAUCUACUUUUUCGUGGGGGAUAACGUAGGGAAACUUACGCUAAUACCGCAUACGACCUACGGGUGAAAGCAGGGGAUCUUCGGACCUUGCGCGAUUGAAUGAGCCGAUGUCGGAUUAGCUAGUUGGCGGGGUAAAGGCCCACCAAGGCGACGAUCCGUAGCUGGUCUGAGAGGAUGAUCAGCCACAAUGGAAAUAAGACACGGUCCAGACUCCUACGGGAGGCAGCAGUGGGGCAUAUUGGACAAUGGGCGCAAGCCUGAUCCAGCCAUACCGCGUGGGUGAAGAAGGCCUUCGGGUUGUAAAGCCCUUUUGUUGGGAAAGAAAAGCAGCAGGUUAAUACCCCGCUGUUCUGACGGUACCCAAAGAAUAAGCACCGGCUAACUUCGUG
rnacentral:rRNA from 1 species